UAUCAUUCACACUACUAAGUAUAUUCGAUUUAAUCGUGUAUCUAUUAGAUUCGUGAAACGUCAGUCGAUAUCAUUCACCGUUUGACAUUUUCUUAUCAAUACUAGAUUUUAACCCGCGGUAUACCGCAAGACGAUUUAUUUUUUAAAAGUAAUAUAUAUUAAAACUUGCUA
rnacentral:sRNA from 1 species